rnacentral:rRNA from 1 species
UAUCUCUGUAGAGUCUGCAUAUCAAUAAGCGGAGGAAAAGAAACUAACAAGGAUUCCCUCAGUAACGGCGAGUGAAGCGGGAAGAGCUCAAAUUUGAAAUCUUCAAGGUUCUACCUUGACGAAUUGUAGUUUAAAGAAGUGUUUUCUGUUGGUAGUUUUGGUAAAAGUUCUUUGGAAUAGGACAUCAUAGAGGGUGAGAAUCCCGUAUUUGACCAUUAUUUCCAGCUUUGUGAUACACUUUCAAAGAGUCGGAUUGUUUGGGAAUGCAGUCCAAAAUGGGUGGUAAAUUUCAUCUAAAGCUAAAUAUUGGCGAGAGACCGAUAGCGAACAAGUACCGUGAGGGAAAGAUGAAAAGAACUUUGAAAAGAGGGUUAAACAGUACGUGAAAUUGUCAAAAGGGAAGCGUUUGACACCAGUGUUGUUUUCACGAAAAUCAAUUAAAAAAAGUUGGAUUUUGUAUUGUUAAGACCUUAUCAGCUUACUGUACUCUUUUCUUGCUUUUUUUAAUGCACUUUUCGUUUAACAAGUCAACAUCAAUUUCUUUUGUUGUAAAAGAGUCAUUGGAAGGUGGCUUUCACUUCGGUGAAAGUGUUUAUAGCCUUUGGCUUCUGCAAUCGGAGAGAUUGAGGUCUGCAGCGUAGAUCCUUCGGGGCUAGAUACGUAGAUGCUAAGUUAUAGUUUUUUAUAGACAACUUGUUGACUAUAAUUAAUCAUGUAGCUUACUCGUUUGCGCUAUUUUACCUACGCUUAGGAUGUUGAUAUGCAUGACUGAUAU